GUGUCCAUGUGGCUCAGAGGAUAAGGAGACUGACUGGCACUCUGGAGGUUGUGGGUUCAAGCCUCACCUUACCCG